rnacentral:rRNA from 1 species
UACAGAGACUGCAAGCGUUAUUCGGAUUUACUGGGCGUAAAGAGCGCGCAGGCGGUCGUUCAAGUCGAGUGUGAAAGCCCCCGGCUCAACUGGGGAGGGUCACUCGAUACUGAUCGACUCGAAGGCAGGAGAGGGAAGUGGAAUUCCCGGUGUAGUGGUGAAAUGCGUAGAUAUCGGGAGGAACACCAGUGGCGAAGGCGACUUCCUGGCCUGUUCUUGACGCUGAGGCGCGAAAGCUAGGGGAGCAAACGGG